rnacentral:rRNA from 1 species
UGCGCAGGCGGACCUAUUAGUCAGUGGUGAAAUCCCGGGGCUCAACUCCGGAACUGCCAUUGAUACUGUAGGUCUUGAGUUUGGUUGAAGUGGGCGGAAUGUAGCAUGUAGCGGUGAAAUGCAUAGAUAUGCUACAGAACACCGAUCGCGAAGGCAGCUCACUAAACCAAAACUGACGCUCAGGCACGAAAGCGUGGGUAGCGAACAGGAUUAGAUACCCUGGUAGUCC